rnacentral:lncRNA from 1 species
UUGACAGUUUGGCUUCCCUGUUCUGGGUGGCAAAGCCUGUGGAGUACUCACCUACCUGCUGCAUGAAGGCAGCAUGGAGGGACUGUGGUGGAUUAUCUGCAAAGAUGGCCAAAAUUCUCUCAUCCCUGCAGGCACAUACAAGGUUGUUGCAUGGCAUAAGUAAAGUGACAGUUAUAGGAUACAUGCAACUUUUCAGUGACAAAGAUCUGUGCAGCAUCGACAGUACUGCCUAAUGAGGUUUCACCAUAAUGAAGUAUCACAACCAGUUUACAGACCAGAAAACUGAGACACAGGAAGGGGUGGUGACUUGAGCAAGGUGCAUCAGCUGAAAAGUUGCUAAAACUGCUGUGAGAUUCUGGCUAAGAAAGUUUCAUGAGAAGUUUUACAGAAAAAUGUGAACGGAAGACAGAACUAGAUAUAAAUUUGAAUGUUUUGAGAAGAAUGCGAAGAAGAAAGGAAGAGUGAGCCUCUCUUUCCCAUCGUUACCCUCCAUUGUCCUCUUGACACCCUGCUUUCACAGAGAAAGAGUUUGAGACCCUCUCCCAGGAGCCAAGGAGAGGGGAACAGCUGGCUUCACAUCAUCUUUCUAUUCAACAAGAUACAAAAAGCUGAAGCCAGGAUGAUAGAAAAGCAACAAAGAAGACACGGUCCUUACUCAUUUCCCUUCCCACUUCAGAGCAAAU